UCCAGGGUAGCUUAGUUGACAUGGCAUCUGCCCGGUAAGCGGAACACUGUGGGUUCGUUUUUCCCAUCCCUAGAA